GUUUGCUGCACACUUGUUGGUAUUUUUGCGGUUUUGUUGCGGCGCCGCAAAAGUAAUAAAAAUAUAUAUCUAAUACAGUGUCAUUCGUUUUUAAAGAAAAUCAGUCAGUGCGACAAGUUGAAUAGUGCAAAAUGGAAGUUUUUAUUAAUGAU